CUGCCGGAAGGAUCAUUAUUGAAUAAGCUUGGUUGGGUUGUUGCUGGCUCUUUGGGGGCAUUGUGCACGCCUGACGCCAAUCUUUUUACCACCUGUGCACCUUUUGUAGAUCCUGGAUAACUGAGGAUUGCUGUUCGUCAAAGUCGGCUUUCCUUACAUUUCCGGUCUAUGUAUUUUUUUAAUACACCAUCAGUAUGUCUAUGAAUGCUUAUAUUAUCGGACUUGAUUGUCCAAUAAAACCUUAAUACAACUUUCAACAACGGAUCUCUUGGCUCUCGCAUCGAUGAAGAACGCAGCGAAAUGCGAUAAGUAAUGUGAAUUGCAGAAUUCAGUGAAUCAUCGAAUCUUUGAACGCACCUUGCGCUCCUUGGUAUUCCGAGGAGCAUGCCUGUUUGAGUGUCAUAAAAUUCUCAACCUUUUCAGCUCUUUUGUUGUUGAUUAGGCUUGGAUGUGGGAGUUUGCUGGCUUUUAUUUAUUAGAAGGUCGGCUCUCCUUAUAAUUCAUUAGUAGGAUCUCUGUUGCCCUAGCUUUUGGUGUGAUAGUUAUCUACGCCAUUAUGUGAAGCAGCUUUUUAAAGGUCACUGCUUUCUAACCGUCUCUGAUGGGAG
rnacentral:rRNA from 1 species